rnacentral:rRNA from 1 species
UACGUAGGGUGCAAGCGUUGUCCGGAAUUAUUGGGCGUAAAGAGCUUGUAGGCGGUUUGUCGCGUCUGCUGUGAAAUUUCGGGGCUCAACCCCGAACUUGCAGUGGGUACGGGCAGACUAGAGUGUGGUAGGGGAGACUGGAAUUCCUGGUGUAGCGGUGAAAUGCGCAGAUAUCAGGAGGAACACCGAUGGGCGAAGGCAGGUCUCUGGGCCAUAACUGACGCUGAGAAGCGAAAGCAUGGGGAGCGAACAGG